UGAGGAAUAUUGGGCAAUGGGCGGAAGCCUGACCCAGCCAUGCCGCGUGCAGGAAGACGGUCCUAUGGAUUGUAAACUGCUUUUAUACGGGAAGAAACACUCCCUCGUGAGGGAGCUUGACGGUACCGUAAGAAUAAGGAUCGGCUAACUCCGUGCCAGCAGCCGCGGUAAUACGGAGGAUCCAAGCGUUAUCCGGAAUCAUUGGGUUUAAAGGGUCCGUAGGCGGCCUUAUAAGUCAGUGGUGAAAUCUCCCAGCUCAACUGGGAAACUGCCAUUGAUACUGUAGGGCUUGAAUGCUUAGGAAGUAACUAGAAUAUGUAGUGUAGCGGUGAAAUGCUUAGAUAUUACAUGGAAUACCAAUUGCGAAGGCAGGUUACUACUAAGUGAUUGACGCUGAUGGACGAAAGCGUGGGGAGCGAACAGG
rnacentral:rRNA from 1 species